UACCAUCUGUAAAAUCUAAUCUUUCAGGAGAAAAAGACACGUCCUUCUCUGUUGUCUGUCUGAUGCAGAGUGAGGUGUGAAUGAAUUUGAAAGAUGUAGGAGGGUAGGCGGCGUUUGCGUGAACCAAUGGGAGGGUUAGCCAAUGGGAAAAUAGGUUAGGAGGAGCUUGCAUGAGGCAAUGAUUUUGUGAAAAUGUGAACUAAAAAAUAAAAUUAUUAAAGUUUUGAAGCUGAAUAAAUGUCCGUAUAUCGGUUGAUGAAUGUCAACAAUGCGGCAUCUCUUACAGCUCCUGAGCAGACUGAUCUGUGGUUAGCAAUAGCCUGCAUGAGCAGCAUCUCUUGCAGCUCCUGUGCAGACUGUGUGAAGGCAGUUUGAAAUUGGUGGGUGAAACUCCUCACACAGGGUAAAUAAAAAACACAUGCAUGCCCAUGGCAUUUCUCAAUGAUCUAUACAUCCUGUGUCCCUAAAAGGAUCAAAGUUUGCUGCUCUUUCUGAAGGUACAUUGUGUGAAGACUGAGGAAUGUCUCUUUUAUGGCCUUAAGGCAUACUGAAUGCGUGUCAGCCAGACAACACUUUCAUACACACUUUGUACAAAAUAAAUUACCCAUAAAAUCUGGAAUCUGGGGACCUUUACUCACUUUUAUGUUGAAAAAGAUUAUACUUUAAAGUUUCACAAUAUCAUAAGGGGAAAUUACAAUUAGUGUCUUUAACACAGAGCCAGAUGUCAAAUGUACUUGAAGUUACUGUGUGAAGCUCCGUGUGUGAGAUCUAUAUAAUAAACAUCACAAAUGAUGAGAAAAAGAAGUAAAAGAAAUGUUAAAUCUCAGAGGCUAAUCUCUGCACCAAGCACACACACACACACACACAGGAACCAGAGAAGGUCAAGAGGUCAACCAUUGUUUUCACACAGGACCUUAUAAAGACAGGAGUACCUAAUGACGUAGACAGAUAUCAAAGUGAGACGCAGAGACUUCUGACAUCUGACAAUGGAAAAUGGCUCAAGCAACUGGUAAAUUACCAAUAUCUUUAAAAUUAUAUUUUAUGCGUUUAAACCUUUAGGCAGAAACAUAGGGAGUUUUUUCAUUCUUUGCAGUAACUCUAAACGAAGGGCUGAACCUUCAAGCAGAGGAGUCUGGUAAGUAUAGGUCUACAUUAUGUAUUUUUGAAACAGAAAUAUUAAAAGACUUUUAUUUCCUACCGUGAUUAUAAAUUACAUCUUUCAGAGUCAUCAACUGAAACCUCAACAUCUGAGACCUCAUCUGAUACUGACUCCUCAUCUGUGCUUUCAGAGGAUGUGGUAUUACCCGAUCUGUGGGGUGGUUUGGACCAAUAUUUCCAAGAAGAGCUAUCGCCAUCAUCACAGCCACAGGAUGACACAACCGGGCAUGCCUCAGGCGGUCAAAACAUUAAACAUUCUCUAGAGGAAGAGAUCCGGGGGAUGUGAUACCACAUCAAUAUUUUGAUGAACAACCACCAUUUCACCAGGAGCCUGCCUCAACUACUAAUCAACCGCUGAUGGUUGUGGAGAGGUCUAGGCCUCAACCAGCAGACAGAGAUCCAGGAUUCUCAUUAGGUCACAACCACAGGAAAACCAGUUCCAGUUCUGAGAAUCCACACCUGAGAUCCCAUAGGGCUUCCAGCGAAGGAUUUCCAUCAGCACGCUCAAACAGACCCAGGUCCAGACCAUCCAGGUGCCCUCAGUGUUGCAGAACUACAUGCCAGCAAUUGGAUCUGAUGUCUAGAGCCUUUUGGCUCAUCUGUCAGAAGUUAGGUGUACACAGUGACAAUUUGUAAACUGUUUCAGACGGUGAUUUUUAUCAUGUGGAUAAAUUGCAAUGAUGUUGACUUAAGGUUUUUUAAUAGCGUUUUAUUUUUAUUAGGUCAUGGAUCAGUACACUAGUAGCUAUUGAAUUGUUGGAGAGUUUAGCAGACUCAGGCGGAUGCGUGAGACCAGACGAUCAGACCGCUGUAUCCUUUAGCGACAUCCCAAAAUUUUACACUGCGUUGGACUGUAAAAUUGUAGUGUUUAACAGAACCGAGGAUGACAGGGCUCUCCGCAAAUUCUUGACAGAUAGCCCAAAACAGAGUAAAACCCUGAUUUUGUUUCUCUUCCAAAAUCACUACUAUGCGAUUAAAAAUCUCAAAGUCUUUCUAGGUUCGCCUUAUGUUUGUGAGCACUGCUUUACAGGUUUUAACAGUGUUAGGCCAUACUUGUGACGCUCGUUGCAUCGUAUGCUUUGACCCUGGUUGUAAACAGAGACCAUGUCAACCUGUUGUGUGUGACCAAUGCAACAGAACGUGUCGCUCACCUUUCUGUUUAACCAAACACAAAGAACCUACAGAGAGAUCGAGAGGUCAAACAUAUGCCAGCGCUUGUGCCUUGUACAAAAAAUGUACCAAAUGUGCAAGGCUGUACUACUGUGCUAUGAACGGUAAUGGUAAAAAGUGUCAGACUGCGAAAUGUAAAAUUUGAUCUCUGACUCUGAAACAGAGGUUCAUCAGUGCUGAAUGAAAAAGUGGUGUUUUAUGAUUUUGAAGCCUACAUCAACGUCACGUUCCAUUUUUAGUGUGUACACGAACCUUAGAUGGUAAAACAUGGAGCUCUCAAAGAGUUUCUACUGCAUUUCAGACAACCUUUGUACAAAAAUGCAGUGUUUAUAGCACACAAUGCCCUCUUUGAUUAUGCAAGGGUCAAAAGUAAUUUGUGUCAAUUACAAACAAAGAUACAUUGACUCUUUAUCCUUUUCAACAAUGUGUUUAGCUAAUUUUCCGAAAGCGCUUGGUUUCAGUGAUAAAAUAAAGGGGUACUUUCCUCACGGUUUCAGCUCAGAGGGCCAUUUGAGUUAUACAGGUGAGUACCCUCCCCCUCAGUCUUACGGUAUUGAGACCAUGACAACGGAGCAACUAACAGACUUUUACUGUUGGUACGCGACGGUGCGGCACGGCACAUUCAACUUCAUGAAAGGGGCACGCCUCUAUUGUCAAAAUGAUGUAGACAUUCUCGCUGAGGGUUGCACGCUGUUCAGAAAACAGUAUAUCGAUGAAACUGCCGUCGAUCCCUUCAGCCGUGCGACCAUCGCGUCGGCAUGCAUGAAGGUGUUUCUGACAAACUUUCUACCACCGAAAACUUUAGCAAUCCCCUCUCCGGACGACUACAGGCGUCAGUUCAAAACAUUUUCAAACGCUGGUAUCUAGUGGUUAGAGUGGUUGUCACACACACAUGACAUCCCUAUCCAACAUGCUUUAAAUAAGGGGGAAAAACAGCUGGGGCGAUUCUUUGUAGACGGGUAUGCUGAAAUCUCUGGGGUGAAAUAUGUCUAUAAGUUUCUAGGAUGUUUCUAUCACGGUUGUUCAAUUUGCUAUCAAGCGCACAACACCUGUCCUCUGACAGGCCGUCCCUUCGGAGAGUUGAAUUACGUGAGUUAGAAGCCGCGCACAAGGUAAAACUCAUCAUCAUGCGUGAGCAUACGUGGAGGAUGUUGAAGAAAUCUCAUCAGGGGUUGAAGGAGUUUCUCAAAACCGCUGCGUCGAACGAGACAAUCUCUUAUGUAGAUAUGACAUCUCUCUAUCCUUACUUCCCCUAUCCUCUCAGACACCCUGAAAUAAUCUAUAAAGAUUUUCAAGAACCUCAAAGCUACUUUGGGCUAAUCAGGGCAAGGGUCUACCCGCCGAGAGAGUUGUACUUUCCAGUCCUGCCCUAUAGAACGACAGGAGUUAAGCUUGUGUUUACCCUUUGUCGAGCAUGCGCCGAGCUCAAUUUGCAGGAGGCUCCGUGUCAGCAUAGCGAUGAUGACAGGGUGUUGACCGGUGUCUGGUUCACUCCUGAAUUUAACAAGGCUUUGGAGAUGGGCUAUUGGAUAGCUGAAAUAACCGAGGUAUGGCACUUUGAUAGAUUCUAUAUUUGUCGACUAUAUGCACACUUUUCUGAAAGGUAAACAGGAAGCUUCGGGUUACCCAUCCGAUGCUGCAGAUCAGGAAAGCAGAGAAAAGUACAUCAGCGACUAUCAUGCAAACCAAGGGAUUUUGCUGGAGGCUGAUAAAAUCAGACCAAACCCUACUAAAAGGCAAGUGUCUAAAUUAUGUCUGAACUCCUUUUGGGGUAAGUUCGCGCAGAGAAGCAACCAAACAAGCCAAACCACAAACCAAACUAGUCACAGACCCAGAAGACCCUCAUUAACCUCAUGUUUUCUGAAAAAUAUAGUCAAGUACUUCUCCUUUAUCAAUGACAAAGUGGCUUUGGUUCAGUGGUCUUACGGAGACCGUUGUAUCCCGCUACCAAACAAGGUAGAUAACGUUUUUAUAGCCGCUUUCACCACAGCCUACCGGUGUCUGACUUUGUACAGGUAUUUGGAACAGCUGCAAGACAGAGUCCUUUACUGCGAUACAGACAGCCUCAUCUAUGUCACAAAAGAGGGCGAGACGCUGCUCAAGCUGGGUAAUUACCUGGGAGAUUUGACGGACGAGUUAGGGGGAGAUAGCAUCAAAGAAUUUGUGGCUGCAGGUCCAAAAAGUUAUGCUUACCAAACUCGAAACAACAAGGUUGUUUUACGCUUAAAAGGCAUUACGCAGAUGCACCAAUGCUGUGAAAUUGUCAACUUUGAUAGCGUCAAAGAUCUGGUUCAGGAUUAUGUGCAAAACUCUGACGAGAGGGGGGUCAUUGAAAUCCCUCAACACAGUAUUGUGCGAGAUAGGAAAGGCUUCAUUCUAAAAAACACAUCAUUCCAAAAAAAGUGUUGUAUAUGAUAAGAGACGGCUGCCGAGUCUAGGACAUACAUUGCCUUUUGGUUAUUGAGGAGAAAAUGUUUCAUCCGAAGAAAUUGAUUUUGACCCCAGACUGAAAGUGCCUUUUUCUUGUCUGGUCACAGGACCAAGUGGCUGUGGCAGGACUUAUUUUGUAAAGUCUGUUUUGGAAAACUAUAAUCAUGUGAUGAUAUACUGCCUGAUAACAUUGUAUGGAUUUUUACAUCGUUUCAACCAUUGUAUGCUGAACUGCAAAAGAAGAAUAAAAAGAUA